CCUUAGAUCACCGAAGUUAAGCAUCAUUGGGCGCGGUCAGUACUUGGGUGGGUGACCACCUGGGAACACUGCGUGCCGUU
rnacentral:rRNA from 1 species